GUGACAGGGGAGCCACCGGAACGGCCCUGAGGGAGACGUAGUCAGGCGGGUUAAAAUACUUUGUAGGAAGGAAAAGGAAAGGAGGGACUGUGAUGGUUCCAGAGGACUUCUGCAGGAGUAUCAGGGCGUGCCUGAGGCGCCCACGACUUUCUGAAAGAAAUUACACGUCUCCACGUAUUGUUUUUAUCCUGGAGAUGCUACAGAGAGGCAACUAAAAGGCUUGUUCUCCAGAGACUGUUUAGCAUUCACCCUUCGAAAGCGAGGGAAGAAAAACAACUUCAGAUGCUGAAGAAAUGAGAAAAAUGGAUGUAGCAGAUUUCUGAUCCUUGCACAGCAUUCCACUGCAGUUGGUCCUUGGUAAAGAAGGAGUCAUUCUUUACGAAACUGAUUGGAUGACCAGGAUCUAGAUUAUGCCUGAAUGGUGGAUCUGAAUUUUAUAAUAAUGGUGAUACUGACUUAAUAUAUCGGUUCUGUUGCA